AUUUAGUGUCACCGUUGAAGACACCGAUCAACUUCUCUCGGGAGCAUGGCUCAAUAUAUCAAUAAUACAAGUUUUUGUUACGGCUUUGAGUGAGUUGUGUUUUCACGAUGAUUGUCACCCCAAUAGUAUUGGAUUCAUGUGCCCGGAGAUGAUCUCGGCCACCAUGUUAAAGUCCGAUGCAGAUAGAAUUCUAUUGUACAUGACGAGGUCCAUGAGUGCACUUAGUUCUAAGACAUUCAUCUUAUGUCCAUACUACGAAAAGAGUCACUGGAUGCUUUUAGUUCUUUGCUUGUCUAAACGUGAGGUCUACAUAUUUGAUUCUCAACAGAAGAAGAGAAAUUUGAUGAUUAAGGAGCCA